rnacentral:rRNA from 1 species
GACGAACGCUGGCGGCGUGCUUAACACAUGCAAGUCGAACGGAAAGGCCCUGCUUUUGUGGGGUGCUCGAGUGGCGAACGGGUGAGUAACACGUGAGUAACCUGCCCUUGACUUUGGGAUAACUUCAGGAAACUGGGGCUAAUACCGGAUAUGAUCUCCUGCUGCACGGUGGGGGUUGGAAAGUUUCGGCGGUUGGGGAUGGACUCGCGGCUUAUCAGCUUGUUGGGGUGGUAGUGGCUUACCAAGGCUUUGACGGGUAGCCGGCCUGAGAGGGUGACCGGCCACAUUGGGACUGAGAUACGGCCCAGACUCCUACGGGAGGCAGCAGUGGAGAAUAUUGCACAAUGGGCGGAAGCCUGAUGCAGCAACGCCGCGUGCGGGAUGACGGCCUUCGGGUUGUAAACCGAUUUCGCCUGUGACGAAGCGUGAGUGACGGUAAUGGGUAAAGAAGCCCCGGCUAACUACGUG